rnacentral:rRNA from 1 species
GACGAACGCUGGCGGCGUGCUUAACACAUGCAAGUCGAACGAAGUGGCGAACGGGUGAGUAACACGUGAGUAACCUGCCUUACACAAGGGGAUAGCCUUUGGAAACGAAGAAUAAUACCCUAUAGUUUAAGAUGGACUUGCGUCUGAUUAGCUAGCUGGUGAAAUAAAUGCCCACCAAGGCAACGAUCAGUAGCCGGCAUGAGGGAGUGUAAGGCGACAUUGUGACUGAGAGACGGCCCAAAGUGAACGGGAGGCAGAAGGGGGGAAGAGUGCACACGGGGGGAAAGUGUGCUGCAGCAACGCGGCGUGCGUGAGACGGCCCUCUGGUUGUAAACCGAUUUCAGCCAUUACGCGGUAGUGGCAGAAGAAGCACCGGCUAACUACGUGCCAGCCGCCGCGGUAAUAC